GGAGAGCACCCACUGCUCAUCUGAAUUCUAGAGAACCACUCAAGUGCAUAUAGACGGCAUCCAUCCUAAGAAGGAAAGUGCUCUCUAAGAAGCCACUAUGCCUGAAAUGCCACCAUAUGUAUACACCAUUCCACUAUGGAAAACAUUGCCUUUUCGGGGCUCUUCCUGUGAAAUGCAGGCCAUGAGCUCUUGCUGGACAUACCAGAACAAAGACAUAGUCUCUUCAAGAUGGCAUUCACAGCCAUAGGGCAGGACGACAGGUGGGCGACAACCAUAGCCAGCAGAAGAGCAGACACUGGAACAGAGGUUCAAACCAACAACUAUGGAGCGAGCUGAGCCUUUUAUUGAAGCGUAAUACAUAUACAGAAAAAUUCACCUAUCAUAAGUAUGCAUCUUGGUAAAUUUUCACAAGGAAUAUACCCAUGGAACCAACAUCCAGAUCAAAAUCUGUCAGGCGUCUAGCACCCAGAAGCCCCUGCGGGUCCCUGCCAGUUACUAUGUGCCCCCAAGGCUGACCACUGUCCUGUCUUCUGGUACCACAGGUUUGUUUUGCCUGUUUUUUGAACUUUAUAAAUGCAAGUGUACAGUAUGAACUGUGUCGUGU
rnacentral:lncRNA from 1 species